rnacentral:rRNA from 1 species
UACGUAGGUGGCAAGCGUUGUCCGGAUUUACUGGGCGUAAAGAGCGCGCAGGCGGUCGUUCAAGUCGCGUGUGAAAGCCCCCGGCUCAACUGGGGAGGGUCACGCGAUACUGAUCGACUCGAAGGCAGGAGAGGGUAGUGGAAUUCCCGGUGUAGUGGUGAAAUGCGUAGAUAUCGGGAGGAACACCGGUGGCGAAGGCGGCACUCUGGGCCGGUACUGACGCUGAGGAGCGAAAGCGUGGGGAGCGAACAGG